rnacentral:rRNA from 1 species
GGGAUGGAUAACGCCGGGAAACCGGUGCUAAUACCCGAUAACCUCUUUGGAUCGCAUGAUUUGAAGAGAAAAGGUGGCCUCUUUACAAUGCUACCACUUACAGAUGAAUCCGCGUCCCAUUAGCCAGUUGGUGGGGUAAAGGCCUACCAAAGCGACGAUGGGUAGCCGGCCUGAGAGGGUGACCGGCCACACUGGAACUGAGAUACGGUCCAGACUCCUACGGGAGGCAGCAGUGGGGAAUAUUGCGCAAUGGGGGAAACCCUGACGCAGCAACGCCGCGUGGAGGAAGAAGGUCUUCGGAUUGUAAACUCCUGUCUUCUGGGACGAUAAUGACGGUACCAGAGGAGGAAGCCACGGCUAACUACGUGCCAGCAGCCGCGGUAAUACGUAGGUGGCGAGCGUUGUCCGGAAUUACUGGGCGUAAAGGGCGAGUAGGUGGUUUGCUAAGUCAGAAGUGAAAACUCCGGGCUCAACCCAGGAAGUGCAUUGGAUACUGGCAGACUUGAAUACGGGAGAGGAAAGUGGAAUUCCUAGUGUAGCGGUGAAAUGCGUAGAUAUUAGGAGGAACACCAGUGGCGAAGGCGACUUACUGGACUGUAACUGACGCUGAGGCGCGAAAGCGUGGGGAGCAAACAGGAUUAGAUACCCUGGUAGUCCACGCUGUAAACGAUGAGUGCUAGGUGUAGAGGGUAUCGACCCCUUCUGUGCCGCAGUUAACACAAUAAGCACUCCGCCUGGGGAGUACGGUCGCAAGACUGAAACUCAAAGGAAUUGACGGGGGCCCGCACAAGCGGUGGAGUAUGUGGUUUAAUUCGACGCAACGCGAAGAACCUUACCAGGGCUUGACAUGCAGGUGAAUCUCUCUGACAGGAGCUUCCCUUCGGAGCAGAGGUGACAGGUGGUGCAUGGUUGUCGUCAGCUCGUGUCGUGAGAUGUUGGGUUAAGUCCCGCAACGAGCGCAACCCUUGUCCUUAGUUGCCAGCAUGAAAGAUGGGCACUCUAGGGAGACUGCCGGAGAUAAUUCGGAGGAAGGUGGGGAUGACGUCAAAUCAUCAUGCCCCUUAUGUCCUGGGCUACACACGUACUACAAUGGCUAUAACAGCAGGAAGCGAAGGAGUAAUCCGGAGCAAAUCCUCAAAAAUAGUCCCAGUUCAGAUUGUGGGCUGCAACCCGCCCACAUGAAGUCGGAAUUGCUAGUAAUGGCAGGUCAGCAUACUGCCGUGAAUACGUUCCCGGGCCUUGUACACACCGCCCGUCACACCAUGAGAGUCUGCAACACCCGAAGUCAGUAGUCUAACCGUAAGGAGGGCGCUGCCGAAGGUGGGGU